UGUCUAGAAGAAAUUUGACGGCCUGAGAAUCAUAACAAAGUGAAAAGAAAUGGAUCGGAGGAGAAGUUGCGAGUAUUUAAGAUUAAGCUUCUUAGACAAAAAGGUAACAUAUUUCUAUUCAUAUCUGGUGGAAACAGAUUUACCUCGUCUGGUUUCUUCGCAGCUAAAUACGCAUUCAUGAGGCCUCGUG